rnacentral:rRNA from 1 species
GAUGAACGCUGGCGGCGUGCCUAAUACAUGCAAGUCGAGCGAGGUUCUUCGGAACCUAGCGGCGGACGGGUGAGUAACACGUGGGUAACCUGCCUGUAAGACUGGGAUAACUCCGGGAAACCGAAGCUAAUACCGGAUAAUUUUGAGCAUCGCAUGAUGCUUGAUGGAAAGACGGUUUCGGCUGUCACUUACCGAAGGACCCGCGUCGCAUUAGCUAGUUGGUGAAGUAACAGCUCACCAAGGCGACGAUGCGUAGCCGACCUGAGAGGGUGAUCGGCCACACUGGGACUGAGACACGGCCCAGACUCCUACGGGAGGCAGCAGUAGGGAAUCUUCGGCAAUGGGCGAAAGCCUGACCGAGCAACGCCGCGUGAGCGAUGAAGGCCUUCGGGUCGUAAAGCUCUGUUGUUAAGGAAGAACGAGUACGAGAGUAACUGCUCGUACCUUGACGGUACUUAACGAGAAAGUCACGGCUAACUACGUGCCAGCCGCCGCGGUAA